AUUCGUGCCUGCCGGUGGAAAAAUUAGAGCGACAUAUUAGUGCAUUGGCUCGGUGAAAUAAAUGAAGCGCUACUGGAGGCAAAUUAAAAUAUCUCCCUCAGCAAAAAUGAGACUCUCGCUCAUGAUGAAAGCAUGUUAAUAGUUUAUUCUUUGAAACAUCACCGACAUAGUCAUAUUCUAAAGCAUCAUCAACGCCAUCACCAAAUUCAAUGCCAUCAACACCAUCAGCGGCUAGUAACAAUGUAUACCACAGAUUUAUGGCGAAUUACAACGAGGCAAAAAACAUAUACAUAUGUAGGAAUUGUAAAAUUCCUAAAAUUUUGCAAAGUUUUAAGAAAACUGCAUUUUCUUGCACCACUAUAACUGAUUUCCAAUUGUUAAUAUAUAUCAAAAGAAAGCUAAAAGGAUUACCUUUCCUUUGAUUAUAAAACCAUUUAAAUCGCUGGACAUUUUUAUGCAAAUUUCGCAACUUUUGAAAUCAUCUAUAUGUAAGCAGUGGAAAGGUUCUAAAAUUUAGCAAAGUUGUAAGAAAACUGCAUUUUCUUGAACCACUAUAAAUGAUUUCCAAUUGUUAAUAUAUAUCAAAAGAAAGAUAAAUCGAUUACCUUUCUUUUAAUUAAAAUACCAUUGAAUUCGUUUAACAUUUUUAUGCAAAUUUCGCAACUUUUGAAAUCAUCUAUAUGUAAGCAGUGGAAAAGUCCUCAAAUUUUGUAGUUGUAAGAAAACUGAAUUUUCGUAAACCACGAUAAAUGAUUUCCAACUGUUAAUAUAUAUCAAAAGAAUAGUAAAUUGAUUAAUAUAUUAUUAUUAUUAUUAUAGUUUAAUAUCUUUAUACAUAGAUUUAUUGAAUAUCCCGUUUUGUAGAAUGGUUAUGAUGAUGUCUUAGAAACGCUUGCCAUAAUUGAUUAUUAAUAAAAUAAAGGUUUAUACUUUAAAAGGAUUUUUUAUUUCAAAUGGAUAUUCUUUAUUUUUUUUUAACUUAUUGCUUUUCCACACCACCACUGAGGUUGCAAUAAAGGCGCGUUACCGAUUUUUUUUUUUUGGGUGUUCGGUUCCCCAGGAGGCCUAUUUUCACCCAUACUAUCUACAAAUACGAAGUGCAUGCAUAUAAGAAAAUCUAAGAAAUAGCAAAAUCCACGAAAUACGAAAAAACUACACAAAUCUACUUGGAAAAAACGACUAUGACUAAUAAUAAAAUCUAAGAAAUAGCAAAAUCCACGAAAUACAAAAAAACUACACAAAUCUACUUGGAAAAAACGACUAUGACUAAUAAUACUACAUACAAGAAAACUACUUUAUACAAAUUUAUAUACAAUAUUUACAAAAUCACCCACAGUAAAUCCCUUUCUAUGAACUGUAAUAGAGUAUAGCAAAAAAAUAAAAAAAAUAUUGCGACUGUAAAUGUAGAGAACAUCAGCAUAUAGAAGCAAGCUUUUGGGGUCAACAAUUGUUAUUAAUAAGAGAGAAUCACAUCCCAAGACAUCAAAUUAAAUUUUUAAAUAACAUUGUUAUUAAAAAAAAAUGUGGCACAAAGCC